rnacentral:rRNA from 1 species
CCUACGGGAGGCAGCAGUGGGGAAUAUUGGACAAUGGGGGCAACCCUGAUCCAGCCAUGCCGCGUGUGUGAAGAAGGCCCUCGGGUUGUAAAGCACUUUCAGUGAGGAAGAACGCCUGGUGGUUAAUACCCAUCAGGAAAGACAUCACUCACAGAAGAAGCACCGGCUAACUCCGUGCCAGCAGCCGCGGUAAUACGGAGGGUGCGAGCGUUAAUCGGAAUUACUGGGCGUAAAGCGCGCGUAGGUGGCUUGAUAAGCCGGUUGUGAAAGCCCCGGGCUCAACCUGGGAACGGCAUCCGGAACCGGCAAGCUAGAGUGCAGGAGAGGGAGGUAGAAUUCCCGGGGUAGCGGUGAAAUGCGUAGAGAACGGGAGGAAUACCAGUGGCGAAGGCGGCCUUCUGGACGGACACUGACACUGAGGUGCGAAAGCGUGGGUAGCAAACAGGAUUAGAUACCCCUGUAGUC